UACGAAGGGGGCUAGCGUUGCUCGGAAUCACUGGGCGUAAAGCGCACGUAGGCGGAUUGCUAAGUCAGGGGUGAAAUCCUGGAGCUCAACUCCAGAACUGCCUUUGAUACUGGCGACCUUGAGUCCGGGAGAGGUGAGUGGAACUGCGAGUGUAGAGGUGAAAUUCGUAGAUAUUCGGAAGAACACCAGUGGCGAAGGCGGCUCACUGGCCCGGUACUGACGCUGAGGUGCGAAAGCGUGGGGAGCAAACAGG
rnacentral:rRNA from 1 species